UGAUGCUUUAGUUUUCUUCAUUUCACCAGUGGCAGCCAUUGUCUUUACAAUCAAAUAUGUGUAAAUAUUAAAAUUUUCUGUCAGUCUAUUAAAACUCUGUGGCUGUAUGUGCUGGGCUACAGAUGCUUUAAAGUUCUAUGUGUCAACGAGCUAUCAGGAUUUCAAAUACCGGUUAAAUGUUACUGUGCUGCUUUCUUGCAAACAGUAAGACUACAGGGCUGUCCAACAUAAGUAGAGUUCUUUUGAUAGCAGUCAUGUAAAUAUUUAUUCAACCAGAAGAGGCAUGUCCAUCCCUUCCCUUUUCUUUUUUAUGAUCCUCUGGCUCCACCACUUGAUACAGUAAAAGACUUUAAUCCGGCAUGUCUGUAUCAUGGUCGUGCCCUAUUAGCGAUAUUGCGGAAUUACUGUACGUCAAUACAGUUCAAACAAAAUAUGGCAGAUAAUCAAAGAUUAACUAACAACCUGUCCUGGCUUCGCAUGAUGCGAACUACUAAUGUGGCGUUUUUCUAUUUAAUAAUUAAGUAGGUACUUAUAACUACCAAAUUUUUGUAAGUAUCUGGUGUUUGCAAAAAUUAUAUACCUACUUUGUAAACAAUGUUUAUGCCUUUUUUUUUACUCAUGAGACAACACAAACAGAUUUUGAUCAGAAGUCAACAUACAAAAGGGCUAUAAAUAAUGGUGAAAAUCGCAUCAAAGUAAGAAUUAGAAUAAGUACCUAAGCGAACGAACAGACAUACACAGAUAGAGACUUUUUUUAUACCAUGUCUCCUGAAUAACUUACCAUGUAAGAGCAAAAAUUAUUUUAAUUGUAACCAUAAGAAAAACUAUAAAAUGUCUAACUUUAAGUAAGCGGUGAGUGUGAAGUCCUCUUUCAGUGGUUCAUUGCUAGAAAAUAAGAAGUGUUACUAUCAGAACAUGAGUAAUUUUUCCUAGCAAACAAAAUUUCACCAUGGACAGAAAUAGUCACAAUAUUCUAGUGUUUAGUCAUUGAGACUGAUUUCUUUGAUGCACAUGCAAAGUUUAUUUUUCUUCUUACAAUAAAGAAUAAUUCAUAAAGGUUAUAAUUUGUUUCAGUAGUUAGAAGUCUUAGAAAUAAAGUCACAUAAGAGAGCUAAUACAAAACCUCUCAGGCAUAAAAAAAACACGUGAACCAAACUGUGCCUGGCCAACUUCAUGUGUGUUGCAAUGUAAUUUACCUGCAAUCAGUUUAGCAUUACGUGUGGGAACGGAGGGCUAACUGAGACAUAACCUUACUGCCAAAAGCCAGGUCAUCUCUACUAGCAAUCUAUGUGGCGUGUAAACUUGUGGCAAGCGUGUCAUUGACUUUAAUUUAAUUAGGCUUGCAGUGCAAGUCUAACACAACAGGCAUGAUUCAAACUUAGAUUUCAGGCUGAUACUUAUGCAUACUUGCCAAAGGCUUGGAUAUUUUUUAAAAUAUUUUUUAUCUGAAACUAACCACACCUUAACCCAACCUAACCGAACCUAACCUGACCUAACGUAACCUACUUUAGGAAGCGUAAACUUUCUUCCAAACCUAUAUAUUUAUUUAGGUAUUUCCUUUUGUGGAGCUAUAAUAAUAAUAAUAGCUAUGUGUGUGCUUUCAAAUAAAUUCCUACUUGGGCUUGAAGGAAAUGGCCACACUUGGAGUACCAAAUUAAUAUGUGCAGAGAACUAUAGGAGUUUAAGGUCACACUAGGGUAGCCAAAUAAGUAUGUAGAGUUAUUUCCUACUUAGGCUCCAUACACACACUAAAACGUUGGGCUGAAUAAAAACUGUGUAAUAAAUUUUAUUUCUUAAAUAGUGUGACUCUCCAUUGGUAGUGUUGAUAUAAGGUAAGUCACAGUUAGGUGUUACUUGAUUGAUUAGGAACAUACAUAAAUACACACUGGAGUAGGUGAAAUAGCAAAUGACAUAACACAACACUUUGAAUAUAUAAAAUAUAUGAUUAUUUUAUUCCAAUGUAAAAACCGAUUUAAAAGAUUUCAAUCUUAUUAAUAUAUUUAAUUAUUAUUCAUAUUCGAAACAACAACCUAACUUAACAGUGACAUCAUAGGAAUUCAAUAAAAGUUCAAUUACCAGGAGUUAUGUUGCGCACAUUUAAAUAUUUUCAAAAGUCUUAAUUCGGGUUCGUUGACACUACACAGUUUUUAAUUAAUGUUUUUAGGGAACUUAAAAUCAAUUUACCUCGGCUAGUUAGGUUCAGAUAGUUCAUCGGCAGAGCUCAGAGCCUCUCAUCUAUAGGACCACUGAGUCUGUUAAAUAGUGUGUAAAUCGUAAAAUUUAUGUCCAAUUAUUAUUUAAAUCAUCUAUAAAGUCAAUUUAAUUCAUGAAAUCAAUAUUUAUAAUAAGUUUCGGCGGCGAUGUGACGUAAAAACGGGAGUUGCGUGAUUCGUGCAUAAGAUUAGGGCACAAAAUCUGGGCACUUUUAUUACUCACGUUAUUCACUCCUAUGUUAUUUAUCUUUUUAGAUAAAUCCUAUUUAAAUAUUCUGAACUCCUUAAUGGUUCAUAAUUAUCAUCCUCUAUCCGGGAUGCCUGAUGCUAAAUAGCUAAUUUUCAGGAUUUAAAAUCGCCGACGUCACGAAGUUGCCGCUCAUUCCGCUGGCCAUUAAGAACUCUCCUUCUUACUAGUUUCUCAAAUAAACCAGUAAGACUCAACUUUUAAAUGGUGACCCGUGAUUGGCCAAAAGAACCAAUUCUGUUACUUAAUUUCUUACCGAAAACGUGAACUCCGAACGCAACAAUUGCGCGGAUAACAAAAUUUCACUUACAUUUUAAAUAAACAAAUACCAAAAUAAUAAUUUACAUUAUAAAUAAACAGCGUUAAUUUUACCGUUUACAGUUUCCAAGUCCAUUAGUCCUUAGAGGGGUAUCAACAAUACAUCGUUCAAAUAGUCCGGUAAAAAUCCAAAGAAUCAAUUUUCCAUAGACAUACAUAACAAAAUAUUGCCGUUUCUGAAAAUAAAUAAUAUUAUACAUAGAGCAAACAAAAUAAAAUAAAUCGUAAAUAAUAAUAAAUAAUUAAACUGUCAAAACAAACAUGUUGCAGUACAGAUUUUGCCGCCCUUGUCAAUUACAUUGAACAGUGCUCUUUGACCUGUUCAAAACGAUGCAAUGUGAUUGGCACUUCCCUUUCUCCGUCGCACAAUACACAACACUCUUCGUUGCCUAGCAACGUGCGCACAAAACGACAAACAAAAAAAACAACUUGAGAGAGACUACCUCUCCUCCUGGAUUCGUUUUUUUACCGUUGCGCAACUGAAAAUCGCGCCUUUUUAAACACUUUCCGUCGGGUCGUCGCUGCUAACAGACCUGCGCGAAGAAGUUCACGGAUUUUGCAGUGCAAAAUCUUCGAAGGCGGGAACUGCUGCUGCUCUCCGAUUGCUUCUGCCUUGAGCCGCUCCUGUUGAGAGGGACUCGGGAGGACUUACUUACUGUCACGUCACGGCAGUGGGUCAACGUCCACCUGCGGUGAUGACUGCAUCCUUGCUGCGACUCCUCCUUCCUGCAGCGGACAGCGGCGUCGAGACGGCGCCUGUCCUCAAAACGACCAACAAACCUGGCCUGGUUCACCACGCGUCGACAGGGUCUGGCGUGGGGCGAUGAUGCUGUACCAGACAGCACGGCAUCUGGCACUGCAGCUGACGUCAUCAACUGCUGAUGUGGCGGCAUACAGCCGCCCUGCCUCACGACUACGCGCGAGACGGCGUCGUGGCGUCUGCGGUGCUGAUUGCGUGGGGCGAGGUCACCACUUCCCACAAGGAAGCACUCGUCUAUUCCCAUCACUGUUAGGUACACAAUCGUUGCGAACCGCACUAUGUCUAGCUCACUCUGGUGUAACCUCCGCACCUGACUUAAGUAUAGGUGUCCGGGUCUUAAUCAAUAACUUAAUCACUAUGUGCGUACUUGUACUCUUGCAAAUACAAGUGUCUGCAGGCAAUACAACUUGUGUACUUGCCGCGGAACCCUAUGAUGUCAGUGUUAAAACAAAAAUAUCUUAAAUUAACCUUAAAAUUCCUAACUUAACAUAUAACCUUCACAUUAUUAACAUCAUUGUUAGAACAAAAAAUAAAUAAA